rnacentral:rRNA from 1 species
UACGUAGGGUGCAAGCGUUAAUCGGAAUUACUGGGCGUAAAGCGUGCGCAGGCGGUGAUGUAAGACAGGUGUGAAAUCCCCGGGCUUAACCUGGGAACUGCAUUUGUGACUGCAUCGCUGGAGUGCGGCAGAGGGGGAUGGAAUUCCGCGUGUAGCAGUGAAAUGCGUAGAUAUCUGGAGGAAUACCGGUGGCGAAGGCGGCAUCCUGGACCAACACUGACGCUGAGGCGCGAAAGCUAGGGGAGCAAACGGG